GUCAGGAGAGCCGAGCGGUGUAAGGCGCUGCGUACAGUUCUCAGUCCACUUGUGUGCGCGAGGGUUCGAAUCCCUCUUCCGACA